UUUGCUCCCCUCCCCGCAGAGUAAGAGAGCGAGAGAGGCCAUCGAGGCGUGCUCGGAGGCUCAUCAGAGAGACCCGCGAAACAUCUUCAUCCUCCGAGACCGAGCAGAGGCCUUCAUCCUGAACCAGGAGUACGAGAAGGCUGUGGAAGACUAUCAAGAAGCCCGGGGAAUUCGACGCGGAGAAUCAGGAAAUCAGAGAGGGGCUGGAGCGCGCCCAGAAACUCCUCAAACAGUCCCAGAAGAGAGACUACUACAAAAAUCCUCGGGGUGCACAGAAACGCAAACAAGCAGGAGAUCACCAAGGCGUACAGGAAGCUGGCGCAGCAGUGGCACCCGGACAACUUCCAAUCCGAGGGGCAGAAGAAGGAAGCGGAGAAGAGGUUCAUCGACAUCGCCUCUGCCAAAGAGGUCCUGACAGACCCAGAAAUGCGACAGAAAUUUGACGCAGGCGAGGAUCCCCUGGACCCCGAAAGCCAGCAGGGAGGAGGGGGGGGAGGAGGGAACCCCAACAGCUGGCCUUUUGAGUUUAACCCCUUCGGUUCUGGGAACUUCCACUUCAAAUUUAAUUACAACUGAAAACAAACCUGGGAUCGCGUGGAACCUGCUGACUGAGCCGAGGGCUCUGCGAGGGAACGGUCCGAACCACUAGCCGUCUGAAAACUCUCUUCCCUGAUCAACAGAAAAAAACAGAACCCUCUUCCUUUUCUUAUGCUUCUAUGUUGAAGGCUCGUCUUUGUUGGGGGAGAUCAAUUGCUUCAAUCUUUAAUUUUACACACACUGCUGUGCAAAAGUCUUGGACAGAUUCUGGAGUUGCAAUCUGUAUCUGGAUGUUCUGAGCUUCAACAAUUUACUCAAAGCCUCCUCUAGUGUUUUUCCACGAUUAUAACAACUUUGACUGUUAUUAAUACAGCCGUAGUUCGGAUGAGAAGAAACCAAGCGUGUCAUUUUAGCAAUCUAUAAUUCACAUUGAUCAGAA